rnacentral:rRNA from 1 species
GCCCUUCGCAAAUUACCCACUCUCAGUGCGAGGAGGUAGUGACGAAAAAUAACAAGGCUGAUCGCUUUGCGAGCAGCUAUUGGAAUGGGUACAAUUUAAACCCUUUAACGAGGACCUAUGAGAGGGCAAGUCUGGUGCCAGCAGCCGCGGUAAUUCCAGCUCUCAAAAUGUACUUAACCAUUGUUGCGGUUAAAAAGCUCGUAGUUGGAUCUCUGCAACGCGAAGUGGUUCGUUCAUUGAACGAUUACUUCUUCGCGUUGCUCUCUUUUGUCGGUUUUUGGCAGUGUUCCUCACGGAGUGCUGUCGUGACUGACGAGUUUACUUUGAAUUAAUUAGAGUGCUUAAUACAGGCGUAUCGCUUGAAUGAUUGUGCAUGGAAUAAUAGAAAAGGAUUUCGGUCCUCUUUUAUUGGUUUUGUGGACUGAGAUAAUGGUUAACAGGGACAAACGGGGGCAUUCGUAUCUCUGCGUGAGAGGUGAAAUUCUUGGACCGUAGAGAGACCCCUACUGCGAAAGCAUUUGCCAAGAAUGUCUUCAUUAAUCAAGAACGAAAGUCAGAGGUUCCGAAGGCGAUCAGAUACCGCCUAGUUCUUGACCGUAAACGAUGCCCACUAGCGAUCCGUCGAAUGGUAAUUUANCCUUGAUGGGGGAGCUAAUCNGGAAACCAAAGUNUUCCGGUUCCGGGGGGAAAUUUGGUUGCAAAAC